GACAUGUGCGUGUUACUGAGGUGAAAGCCGAGGGACCAUAUCUUCGGAUGUGGAGCGUACACAGGUGCUGCAUGGCUGUCGUCAGCUCGUGUUGUGAGAUGUUGGGUUAAGUCCCGCAACGAGCGCAACCUCUGCAUUCAGUUGCCAACGGUAAGGCCGGGCACUCUGGAUGGACUGCCGGCGACAAGCCGGAGGAAGGUGGGGAUGACGUCAAGUCAUCAUGGCCCUUAUGUCCAGGGCGACACACGUGCUACAAUGGCCGGCACAGCGGGAAGCGAGGGGGCGACCUUGAGCGGAUCCCUCAAAGCCGGUCUCAGUUCGGAUUGCAGUCUGCAACUCGACUGCAUGAAGUUGGAAUCGCUAGUAAUCGUGGAUCAGCCAAGCCGCGGUGAAUACGUUCCCGGGCCUU
rnacentral:rRNA from 1 species